CGCCCGGGAGCGCCCGGGGCCGGGCCGCUCCGGAAGACGCCGGCCGAGCCGGAGCUGGAGCGGCCGCGCGCCGAGGGCAGCGCCUGGUUCGAGAUGGGGUCCCAGGUCUCGGUGGACGCGGGAGCUCUGCACGUGGUGAUUGUGGGCGGGGGCUUCGGAGGCAUCGCCGCCGCCAGCCAGCUGCAGGCGCUGAACGUCCCCUUCAUGCUGGUGGACAUGAAGGACUCCUUCCACCACAACGUGGCAGCCCUCCGGGCCUCCGUGGAGAGUGGAUUUGCCAAAAAGACAUUCAUUUCCUACUCGGUGACCUUCAAGGACAACUUCCGGCAGGGCCUGGUGGUCGGCAUAGACAUGAAGAAUCAGACGGUGCUGCUGCAGGACGGGGAGGCCCUGCCCUUCUCACAUCUCAUCCUGGCCACAGGCAGCACCGGGCCCUUCCCGGGCAAGUUCAAUGAGGUGUCCAGCCAGCAGGCUGCCAUCCAAGCCUACGAGGACAUGGUGAAGCAGGUCCAGCGCUCACAGUUCAUCGUGGUGGUGGGAGGAGGCUCCGCAGGAGUGGAGAUGGCAGCAGAGAUUAAAACGGAAUACCCCGAGAAAGAGGUCACUCUCAUCCACUCCCAAGUACCCCUGGCCGACAAGGAGCUCCUGCCCUGCGUCCAGCAGGAAGUGAAGGAGAUCCUCCUCCGGAAGGGCGUGCAGCUGCUGCUGAGCGAGCGAGUGAGCAACCUGGAAGAGCUGCCCCUCAACGAGUAUCGAGAAUACAUCAAAGUGCAGACGGACAAAGGCACGGAGGUGGCCACCAACCUGGUGAUUCUCUGCACCGGCAUCAAGAUCAACAGCUCCGCCUACCGCAGCGCGUUUGAGAGCAGACUGGCCGGCAACGGUGCUCUGCGAGUGAACGAGCACCUCCAGGUGGAGGGCCACAGCAACAUCUAUGCCAUCGGCGACUGUGCCGACGUGCGGGAGCCCAAGAUGGCCUAUCACGCUGGCCUCCACGCCAACGUUGCCGUGGCCAACAUCAUCAACUCCACAAAACAGAGGCCCCUCAAGACCUAUAAGCCAGGUGCGCUGACGUUCCUGCUGUCCAUGGGGAGGAAUGACGGCGUGGGCCAGAUCAGUGGCUUCUACGUGGGGCGGCUCAUGGUGCGGCUGGCCAAGAGCCGGGACCUGUUCGUGUCCACGAGCUGGAAAACCAUGCGGCAGUCUCCACCCUGACGGGGAGGUGACCACGCAGGUGAACAGACCGCUUGACAGCGGUUGCCUGCCUGAAAACACACGGAAAGAAACCGAUCCUGGAGACCUGCUUAAUUAUGGACUGAGGCUCUUGAAGGAGAAUAUAAAAUGCAGAGGGCUCCUCCUGUGGGCAGGACCUGCCCACUGCCCUCUCUGCCACCCUCCACUCCCCUGCCCUGCCGUCACCCUUCUUCUCUCCUUUUAAAAAAUAAAACCCCCCUCUGUGACUCCGA